rnacentral:antisense_RNA from 1 species
GAUAGCCGAAAAUCACUGCUGGAUUGAGAGUAGGGUUAUUAAUCACUCGCACAUUCUCCACUGCUGGAUCGUACAACCCCCCAAAAGCGAUCGCUUUAGCCACCAGUAGAAAAGCUCCAAAUCCCAGUAGAAUCAGGUGAAUGCCGAUGAUAGUGGUCAUUUUGUCACCAUCUGCCCA